AGAGUUUGAUUCUGGCUCAGAGUGAACGCUGGCGGCGUGCUUAACACAUGCAAGUCGAACGGUAACAGAGAAGAGCUUGCUUUUCUGCUGACGAGUGGCGCACGGGUGAGUAAUAUAUAGAUAACGUGCCUCUUAGUCUAGGAUAGCCAUUGGAAACGAUGAUUAAUACUGGAUACUCCUUCUCUCUAUAAUGAGAGUUGGGAAAGUUUUUCGCUAAGAGAUCGGUCUAUAUCCCAUCAGUUAGUUGGUAGUGUAAGAGACUACCAAGGCAAUGACGGGUAGCGGGUUUGAGAGGAUGAUCCGCCACACUGGUACUGAGACACGGACCAGACUCCUACGGGAGGCAGCAGUGAGGAAUAUUGCACAAUGGAGGAAACUCUGAUGCAGCAACGCCGCGUGGAGGAUGACGCAUUUCGGUGUGUAAACUCCUUUUAUAAGGGAAGAAAAUGACGGUACCUUAUGAAUAAGCACCGGCUAACUCCGUGCCAGCAGCCGCGGUAAUACGGAGGGUGCAAGCGUUACUCGGAAUCACUGGGCGUAAAGGACACGUAGGCGGGAAGCCAAGUCUGAUGUGAAAUCCUACAGCUUAACUGUAGAACUGCAUUGGAAACUGGUUACCUAGAGUAUGGGAGGGGGAGAUGGAAUUAGUGGUGUAGGGGUAAAAUCCGUAGAUAUCACUAGGAAUACCGAAAGCGAAGGCGAUCUCCUGGAACAAUACUGACGCUAAGGUGUGAAAGCGUGGGGAGCAAACGGGAUUAGAUACCCCGGUAGUCCACGCCCUAAACGAUGUUCACUAGUCGUCGGGAUGCUAGUCAUCUCGGUGAUGCACUUAACAGAUUAAGUGAACCGCCUGGGGAGUACGGUCGCAAGAUUAAAACUCAAAUGAAUUGACGG
rnacentral:rRNA from 1 species